UUAAGUUAUUAAGGGCGCACGGUGGAUGCCUUGGCACUAGAAGCCGAUGAAGGACGUUACUAACGACGAUAUGCUUUGGGGAGCUGUAAGUAAGCUUUGAUCCAGAGAUUUCCGAAUGGGGAAACCCAGCAUGAGUUAUGUCAUGUUAUCGAUAUGUGAAUACAUAGCAUAUCAGAAGGCACACCCGGAGAACUGAAACAUCUUAGUACCCGGAGGAAGAGAAAGAAAAUUCGAUUCCCUUAGUAGCGGCGAGCGAAACGGGAAGAGCCCAAACCAACAAGCUUGCUUGUUGGGGUUGUAGGACACUCUAUACGGAGUUACAAAGGACGACAUUAGACGAAUCAUCUGGAAAGAUGAAUCAAAGAAGGUAAUAAUCCUGUAGUCGAAAAUGUUGUCUCUCUUGAGUGGAUCCUGAGUACGACGGAGCACGUGAAAUUCCGUCGGAAUCUGGGAGGACCAUCUCCUAAGGCUAAAUACUCUCUAGUGACCGAUAGUGAACCAGUACCGUGAGGGAAAGGUGAAAAGCACCCCGGAAGGGGAGUGAAAUAGAACCUGAAACCGUGUGCUUACAAGUAGUCAGAGCCCGUUAAUGGGUGAUGGCGUGCCUUUUGUAGAAUGAACCGGCGAGUUACGAUUUGAUGCAAGGUUAAGCAGUAAAUGUGGAGCCGUAGCGAAAGCGAGUCUGAAUAGGGCGUUUAGUAUUUGGUCGUAGACCCGAAACCAGGUGAUCUACCCUUGGUCAGGUUGAAGUUCAGGUAACACUGAAUGGAGGACCGAACCGACUUACGUUGAAAAGUGAGCGGAUGAACUGAGGGUAGCGGAGAAAUUCCAAUCGAACCUGGAGAUAGCUGGUUCUCUCCGAAAUAGCUUUAGGGCUAGCCUCAAGUGAUGAUUAUUGGAGGUAGAGCACUGUUUGGACGAGGGGCCCCUCUCGGGUUACCGAAUUCAGACAAACUCCGAAUGCCAAUUAAUUUAACUUGGGAGUCAGAACAUGGGUGAUAAGGUCCGUGUUCGAAAGGGAAACAGCCCAGACCACCAGCUAAGGUCCCAAAAUAUAUGUUAAGUGGAAAAGGAUGUGGCGUUGCCCAGACAACUAGGAUGUUGGCUUAGAAGCAGCCAUCAUUUAAAGAGUGCGUAAUAGCUCACUAGUCGAGUGACACUGCGCCGAAAAUGUACCGGGGCUAAACAUAUUACCGAAGCUGUGGAUUGUCCUUUGGACAAUGGUAGGAGAGCGUUCUAAGGGCGUUGAAGCAUGAUCGUAAGGACAUGUGGAGCGCUUAGAAGUGAGAAUGCCGGUGUGAGUAGCGAAAGACGGGUGAGAAUCCCGUCCACCGAUUGACUAAGGUUUCCAGAGGAAGGCUCGUCCGCUCUGGGUUAGUCGGGUCCUAAGCUGAGGCCGACAGGCGUAGGCGAUGGAUAACAGGUUGAUAUUCCUGUACCACCUAUAAUCGUUUUAAUCGAUGGGGGGACGCAGUAGGAUAGGCGAAGCGUGCGAUUGGAUUGCACGUCUAAGCAGUAAGGCUGAGUAUUAGGCAAAUCCGGUACUCGUUAAGGCUGAGCUGUGAUGGGGAGAAGACAUUGUGUCUUCGAGUCGUUGAUUUCACACUGCCGAGAAAAGCCUCUAGAUAGAAAAUAGGUGCCCGUACCGCAAACCGACACAGGUAGUCAAGAUGAGAAUUCUAAGGUGAGCGAGCGAACUCUCGUUAAGGAACUCGGCAAAAUGACCCCGUAACUUCGGGAGAAGGGGUGCUCUUUAGGGUUAACGCCCAGAAGAGCCGCAGUGAAUAGGCCCAAGCGACUGUUUAUCAAAAACACAGGUCUCUGCUAAACCGUAAGGUGAUGUAUAGGGGCUGACGCCUGCCCGGUGCUGGAAGGUUAAGAGGAGUGGUUAGCUUCUGCGAAGCUACGAAUCGAAGCCCCAGUAAACGGCGGCCGUAACUAUAACGGUCCUAAGGUAGCGAAAUUCCUUGUCGGGUAAGUUCCGACCCGCACGAAAGGCGUAACGAUUUGGGCACUGUCUCAACGAGAGACUCGGUGAAAUCAUAGUACCUGUGAAGAUGCAGGUUACCCGCGACAGGACGGAAAGACCCCGUGGAGCUUUACUGUAGCCUGAUAUUGAAAUUCGGCACAGCUUGU
rnacentral:rRNA from 2 species